AGUCAUCUGAGUUGUUCGUAAGUUUGCUUUUUAAUUUGGGCCUAACACUCUUUGAUCAAGGGAGCCCAAUGGGUUUUCUUGCAGCGUACACGCCUUAUAUGAAGGACGUACAAAACAAGAAACAGGGCACCCACCUGUAGGGCACCCACCUGUAUAUAACAGGCCGAAUGAUCAAGCUAUUAUAACUACGGCAAUACGGACUCUAU
rnacentral:other from 1 species